ensembl:piRNA 21ur-7481 ncRNA
UAAAAGUCUGAAGGAAAAAAG